CUACGGGGGGCUGCAGUGAGGAAUAUUGCACAAUGGGGGGAACCCUGAUGCAGCAACGCCGCGUGGAGGAUGACGCAUUUCGGUGUGUAAACUCCUUUUAUAUGUCAAGAAAAUGACGGUAGCAUAUGAAUAAGCACCGGCUAGACUCCGUGCCAGCAGCCGCGGUAAUACGGAGGGUGCAAGCGUUACUCGGAAUCACUGGGCGUAAAGGACGCGUAGGCGGGUUGGAAAGUCAGGUGUGAAAUCCUACAGCUUAACUGUAGAACUGCACUUGAAACUUCUAAUCUAGAGUAUGGGAGGGGGAGAUGGAAUUAGUGGUGUAGGGGUAAAAUCCGUAGAUAUCACUAGGAAUACCUAAAGCGAAGGCGAUCUCCUGGAACAUUACUGACGCUAAGGCGUGAAAGCGUGGGGAGCAAACAGGAUUAGAUACCCUAGUAGUC
rnacentral:rRNA from 1 species